GUGAGGAAUAUUGGACAAUGGGCGCAAGCCUGAUCCAGCCAUGCCGCGUGCAGGAAGACGCAUCUAUGGUGUGUAAACUGCUUUUAUACGGGAAGAAACACUCCCUCGUGAGGGAGCUUGACGGUACCGUAAGAAUAAGGAUCGGCUAACUCCGUGCCAGCAGCCGCGGUAAUACGGAGGAUCCAAGCGUUAUCCGGAAUCAUUGGGUUUAAAGGGUCCGUAGGCGGUUUAAUAAGUCAGUGGUGAAAGCCCAUCGCUCAACGAUGGAACGGCCAUUGAUACUGUUAGACUUGAAUUACAAGGAAGUAACUAGAAUAUGUAGUGUAGCGGUGAAAUGCUUAGAUAUUACAUGGAAUACCAAUUGCGAAGGCAGGUUACUACUUGUGGAUUGACGCUGAUGGACGAAAGCGUGGGGAGCGAACAGGAUUAGAAACCCGAGUAGUCC
rnacentral:rRNA from 1 species